rnacentral:rRNA from 1 species
GACGAACGCUGGCGGCGUGCCUAAUACAUGCAAGUAGAACGCUGAAGGAGGAGCUUGCUUCUCUGGAUGAGUUGCGAACGGGUGAGUAACGCGUAGGUAACCUGCCUGGUAGCGGGGGAUAACUAUUGGAAACGAUAGCUAAUACCGCAUAAGAGUAGAUGUUGCAUGACAUUUGCUUAAAAGUUGCAAUUGCAUCACUACCAGAUGGACCUGCGUUGUAUUAGCUAGUUGGUGAGGUAACGGCUCACCAAGGCAACGAUACAUAGCCGACCUGAGAGGGUGAUCGGCCACACUGGGACUGAGACCCGGCCCCGACUCCUACGGGAGGCAGCCGUAGGGAAUCUUCGGCCAUGGACGGAAGUCUGACCGAGCAACGCCGCGUGAGUGAAGAAGGUUUUCGGAUCGUAAAGCUCUGUUGUUAGAGAAGAACGAGUGUGAGAGUGGAAAGUUCACAUUGUGACGGUAUCUUACCAGAAAGGGACGGCUAACUACGUG